rnacentral:rRNA from 1 species
CCUACGGGAGGCAGCAGUGAGGAAUAUUGGUCAAUGGACGAGAGUCUGAACCAGCCAAGUAGCGUGAAGGAUGACUGCCCUGUGGGUUGUAAACUUCUUUUAUAUGGGAAUAAAAUGUUCCACGUGUGGGAUUUUGUAUGUACCAUAUGAAUAAGGAUCGGCUAACUCCGUGCCAGCAGCCGCGGUAAUACGGAGGAUCCGAGCGUUAUCCGGAUUUAUUGGGUUUAAAGGGAGCGUAGGUGGAUUGUUAAGUCAGUUGUGAAAGGUUGCGGCUCAACCGUAAAAUUGCAGUUGAAACUGGCAGUCUUGAGUAGAGUAGAGGUGGGCGGAAUGCGUGGUGUAGCGGUGAAAUGCUUAGAUAUCACGAAGAACUCCGAUUGCGAAGGCAGCUCACUGGACUGCAACUGACACUGAGGCUCGAAAGUGUGGGUAUCAAACAGGAUUAGAUACCCGUGUAGUC